rnacentral:ncRNA from 1 species
UGGUGCAUAACAGCAUACAACAGGUUAAAAGGGAAACAGGUCAGAUGCCUGUGCGAACCCGUCACUGUAGGAGAGGAGUACAUGACCAUUGCGGGAGGAGUGAUCCCACCCGCGGUCACUGAAGCGUAAUGUGACGUUUGGACAACGUUACGCCGGAGGAUUAGCAGAAUGCUAUCCGAAGGAACUUUGGGAAGGCGGCCAUGUGCGUUGAUGCUCGAGCCAGGAAACCUGCCUAUCAU